rnacentral:rRNA from 1 species
GAUGAACGCUGGCGGCGUGCCUAAUACAUGCAAGUCGAGCGAACAGACGAGGAGCUUGCUCCUCUGACGUUAGCGGCGGACGGGUGAGUAACACGUGGAUAACCUACCUAUAAGACUGGGAUAACUUCGGGAAACCGGAGCUAAUACCGGAUAAUAUAUUGAACCGCAUGGUUCAAUAGUGAAAGACGGUUUUGCUGUCACCUAUAGAUGGAUCCGCGCCGCAUUAGCUAGUUGGUAAGGUAACGGCUUACCAAGGCAACGAUGCGUAGCCGACCUGAGAGGGUGAUCGGCCACACUGGAACUGAGACACGGUCCAGACUCCUACGGGAGGCAGCAGUAGGGAAUCUUCCGCAAUGGGCGAAAGCCUGACGGAGCAACGCCGCGUGAGUGAUGAAGGUCUUCGGAUCGUAAAACUCUGUUAUUAGGGAAGAACAAAUGUGUAAGUAACUAUGCACGUCUUGGCGGUACCUAAUCAGAAAGCCACGGCUAACUACGUG